UGGGGAAUAUUGCACAAUGGGCGCAAGCCUGAUGCAGCCAUGCCGCGUGUAUGAAGAAGGCCUUCGGGUUGUAAAGUACUUUCAGCGGGGAGGAAGGGAGUAAAGUUAAUACCUUUGCUCAUUCACGUUACCCGCAGAAGAAGCACCGGCUAACUCCGUGCCAGCAGCCGCGGUAAUACGGAGGGUGCAAGCGUUAAUCGGAAUUACUGGGCGUAAAGCGCACGCAGGCGGUUUGUUAAGUCAGAUGUGAAAUCCCCGGGCUCAACCUGGGAACUGCAUCUGAUACUGGCAAGCUUGAGUCUCGUAGAGGGGGGUAGAAUUCCAGGUGUAGCGGUGAAAUGCGUAGAGAUCUGGAGGAAUACCGGUGGCGAAGGCGGCCCCCUGGACGAAGACUGACGCUCAGGUGCGAAAGCGUGGGGAGCAAACAGG
rnacentral:rRNA from 1 species